AUGAACUUCAGGUCAUUCCAGUUGAGUUUAAUCCUGUGCUUUGUACCCUGUUUGUCUGUUGUCAGUCCAUCAUCCUCAGGUCAGUCUUGUCAACCCAUCCUCAGGUCCGUCUUAUCAGCCCCUCCUCAGGUCAGUUCGUCGUCAGCCCCUCAGGUCAGUCUGUUGGGUCAGUCUUAUCAGCCCCUCCUCUGGUCAGUCUGUUGUCAGCCCCUCCUCUGGUCAGUCUGUUGUCAGCCCCUCCUCUGGUCAGUCUGUUGUCAGCCCUUCCUCUGGUCAGUCCGUUGCCAGCCCUUCCUCAGGUCAGCCCUUCCUCUGGUCAGUCCGUUGUCAGCCCUUCCUCUGGUCAGUCUGUUGUCAGCCCUUCCUCUGGUCAGUCCGUUGCCAGCCCUUCCUCAGGUCAGCCCUUCCUCUGGUCAGUCUGUCGUCAGAUCAGUCCGUUGCCAGCCCUUCCUUAGGUCAGCCCUUCCUCAGGUCAGCCCUUCCUCUGGUCAGUCCGUUGUCAGCCCUUCCUCAGGUCAGUCCGUUGCCAGCCCUUCCUCUGGUCAGUCUGUUGUCAGCCCUUCCUCUGGUCAGUCCGUUGCCAGUCCGUUGUCAGCCCUUCCUCUGGUCAGUCCGUUGUCAGCCCUUCCUCUGGCCAGUCCGUUGUCAGCCCUUCCUCAGGUCAGCCCUUCCUCAGGUCAGCCCUUCCUCUGGUCAGUCCGUUGCCAGCCCUUCCUCAGGUCAGCCCUUCCUCUGGUCAGUCCGUUGCCAGCCCUUCCUCAGGUCAGCCCUUCCUCUGGUCAGUCCGUUGCCAGUCCGUUGUCAGCCCUUCCUCUGGUCAGUCUGUUGUCAGCCCUUCCUCUGGUCAGUCUGUUGUCAGCCCUUCCUCUGGUCAGUCCGUUGCCAGUCCGUUGUCAGCCCUUCCUCUGGUCAGUCUGUUGUCAGCCCUUUCUCUGGUCAGUCCUUUGCCAGUCUGUUGUCAGCCCUUCCUCUGGUCAGUCCGUUGCCAGUCUGUUGUCAGCCCUUCCUCUGGUCAGUCCGUUGCCAGUCUGUUGUCAGCCCUUCCUCUGGUCAGUCCGUUGCCAGUCUGUUGUCAGUCCUUCCUCUGGUCAGUCCGUUGCCAGUCUGUUGUCAGCCCUUCCUCUGGUCAGUCCGUUGCCAGUCUGUUGUCAGCCCUUCCUCUGGUCAGUCCGUUGCCAGUCUGUUGUCAGCCCUUCCUCUGGUCAGUCCGUUGCCAGUCUGUUGUCAGCCCUUCCUCUGGUCAGUCUGUCGUCAGCCCUUCCUCUGAUCAGUCCUUCCUCAGGUCAAUCUGUUGUCAGCCCUUCCUCUGGUCAGUCCUUCCUCAGGUCAGUCUGUUGUCAGCCCUUCCUCAGGUCAGUCUGUCGUCAGGUCAGUCUGUUGUCAGUCCUUCCUCAGGUCAGCCCUUCCUCUGGUCAGUCCGUUGUCAGCCCUUCCUCUGGUCAGUCCUUCCUCAGGUCAGUCUGUUGUCAGCCCUUCCUCAGGUCAGUCUGUCGUCAGGUCAGUCUGUUGUCAGUCCUUCCUCAGGUCAGUCCGGUUUCAGUCCUUCCUCAGGUCAGUCUGUUGCCAGUCUGUUGUCAGCCCUUCCUCUGGUCAGUCCGUUGCCAGUCUGUCGUCAGCCCUUCCUCUGGUCAGUCCUUCCUCAGGUCAGUCUGUUGUCAGCCCUUCCUCAGGUCAGUCCUUCCUCAGGUCAGUCUGUUGUCAGCCCUUCCUCAGGUCAGUCUGUCGUCAGGUCAGUCUGUUGUCAGUCCUUCCUCAGGUCAGUCCGGUUUCAGUCCUUCCUCAGGUCAGUCUGUUGUCAGUCUGUUGUCAGGUCAGUCUGUCGUCAGGUCAGUCUGUUGUCAGUCUUUCGUCAGGUCAGUCUGUUGUCAGUCCUUGCUCAGGUCAGUCUGUCGUCAGCCUUCCUCAGUCUAUUUAGUUUAG
rnacentral:lncRNA from 1 species